rnacentral:tRNA from 1 species
UGUAGCUUAGUGGUACAGCACUUGCCUAGUAUGCACAAGGCCCUGGGUUCUAUCCCCAGCA